rnacentral:rRNA from 1 species
GAUGAACGCUGGCGGCGUGCCUAAUACAUGCCAGUCGAGCGAACAGACGAGGAGCUUGCUCCUCUGACGUUAGCGGCGGACGGGUGAGUAACACGUGGAUAACCUACCUAUAAGACUGGGAUAACUUCGGGAAACCGGAGCUAAUACCGGAUAAUAUAUUGAACCGCAUGGUUCAAUAGUGAAAGACGGUUUUGCUGUCACUUAUAGAUGGAUCCGCGCCGCAUUAGCUAGUUGGUAAGGUAACGGCUUACCAAGGCGACGAUGCGUAGCCGACCUGAGAGGGUGAUCGGCCACACUGGAACUGAGACACGGUCCAGACUCCUACGGUAGGCAGCAGUAGGGAAUCUUCCGCAAUGGGCGAAAGCCUGACGGAGCAACGCCGCGUGAGUGAUGAAGGUCUUCGGAUCGUAAAACUCUGUUAUUAGGGAAGAACAAAUGUGUAAGUAACUAUGCACGUCUUGACGGUACCUAAUCAGAAAGCCACGGCUAACUACGUG